GGAGGGCUAGCGAAGUGGUCAUAACGCGGCGGUCUUGAAAACCGUUUGGGAGCAAUCUCACGAGGGUUCGAAUCCCCCGCCCUCCGCCA
rnacentral:tRNA from 1 species